GACGUAGGGGACGAGCGUUGUCCGGAUUCAUUGGGCGUAAAGCGCGCGUAGGCGGUUCGGUAAGUCGGGUGUGAAAACACGAGGCUCAACCUCGUGCGUGCAUCCGAUACUGCCGGACUAGAGGUAGGUAGGGGAGAUCGGAAUUCCUGGUGUAGCGGUGAAAUGCGCAGAUAUCAGGAGGAACACCGGUGGCGAAGGCGGAUCUCUGGGCCGAUACUGACGCUGAGGAGCGAAAGCGUGGGGAGCGAGCAGG
rnacentral:rRNA from 1 species